UGUCUACGUGGGUAUGUAUUUUUCAUUUGAAUUGUGAUUGUGGGAAUUAUUGUUGAUUGAAGAGAUUGGCAGUAAAGAUUGGGUUUCUAGGGUCGUUUUUGAGAAAAUUCAAAUAAAUUUUUUGGUGUGUUUUGUUUGAUUUGUUUCAUGUGUUAACAAUUAAUGCUUCGGGAUGUCAUUUAAACUUCAAACUGAUUUUUUUUUUUUUUUUUUUUUUGGUUUAUGAAUAUUGAUAUAGGGGAAAUUUUUUUUUUGACAAUGAAUAAGGGAGAGCAAGGCAAAGGUGACGUAGUAAGAGUUAAGGCAUUGUAACUUGCAAAGUCAGUUUGUGGAUCAUGGACUCAUGGAAUGGCUAAUGUAACAGUUUCAGGGUCAUCAAAGUUGUUGGUCAACAUAUUGUACUCAUGGGUCUAUCCGUUGGGAGCUAGAUUGCUUGAAGGGAUGAAACGGUUUUUUAGGCAGCACCUUCUGCUUUUACUUUAACCAGAUGGCUUCUGCAUUAUUUCGCUUUAUUGGGGCAAUUAGUGGGGGGACCUGAUUCUUGCCAACACAUUUGGAUCAUUUGCACUGGUCAUACGGUUUGCUUUGGGUGGCUUUGUCCUGUCAAGAGAGAACAUAAAGAAAUGGUGGAUAUGGGGUUACUGGAUGUAAAUUACACGUCUAGCCUACUAUAUUUGCUGCAGAAUGCGAUUUUGGGUGUUGGUCCGUUUCUUCAAGACAAUGCAUGGGGUUGUCUUGAUCUAACUCAUUGCAAAGGUCAAAACCUUAAGUUCAUGAAUUGCACUUCAUAAGUCGCAAAAAACAAAAUAUAUUUUUAACAUUAUCAUAGAACUCACUCAUUCAUGGCUAAUUAUAAUUUAAAAUGCAAUUUCUUUCAUACUGAUGAUCCAUUAUCAACACAUGACCACAUACACAUGGCUGUGGAACUUGACUGAUUGAUAUUGAUUGUGUCUUUCUA